rnacentral:rRNA from 1 species
CGAGCGAAACGGCAGGAGGGCAAACCGAAGAGUUUACUCUUCGGGGUUGUAGGACUGCAAUGUGGACUUAAAGAUUAUAGAAGAAUGACAUGGGAAGGUCAGCCAAAGAGAGUAAGAGCCUCGUAUUCGAAAUAGUCUUUAUACCUAGCAGUAUCCUGAGUACGGCGGGACACGAGAAAUCCCGUCGGAAUCUGGGAGGACCAUCUCCCAACCCUAAAUACUCUCUAGUGACCGAUAGUGAACCAGUACCGUGAGGGAAAGGUGAAAAGCACCCCGGGAGGGGAGUGAAAUAGAACCUGAAACCGUGUGCCUACAACAAGUUCGAGCCCGUUAAUGGGUGAGAGCGUGCCUUUUGUAGAAUGAACCGGCGAGUUACGAUAUGAUGCGAGGUUAAGUUGAAGAGACGGAGCCGUAGGGAAACCGAGUCUGAAUAGGGCGAGUUAGUAUUAUGUCGUAGACCCGAAACCAUUC